rnacentral:tRNA from 1 species
UGUUCCGUAGCUUAGUUGGUUAAAGCGCCGGUCUAGCGUACACGGAGUUGUCAGUUCGAGCCUCACCAGAACGC